rnacentral:rRNA from 1 species
AUCAACUUUCGAUGGUAGGAUAGAGGCCUACCAUGGUGGUAACGGGUAACGGGGUGUUAGGGCACGACACCGGAGAGGGAGCCUGAGAAACGGCUACCACAUCCAAGGAUGGCAGCAGGCGCGCAAAUUACCCAAUCCCGACACGGGGAGGUAGUGACAAUAAAUAACAAUACGGGGUCCUUUCGGGUUUCGUAAUUGGAAUGAGUACAAUUUAAAUCUCUUAACGAGGAACAAUUGGAGGGCAAGUCUGGUGCCAGCAGCCGCGGUAAUUCCAGCUCCAAUAGCGUAUAUUAAAGUUGUUGCAGUUAAAAAGCUCGUAGUUGAAUUUCAGGCCUGGCUGGACGGUCCGCCCUUCGGGUGAGUACUGUCUGUGGUCGGGUCCUACCUUCUGGCGAAGCGUCAUGGCCUUAACCGGCCGUGGCGGGGAACCAGGACUUUUACUGUGAAAAAAUUAGAGUGUUUAAAGCAGGCUCGCGCUUGAAUACAUUAGCAUGGAAUAAUGAAAUAGGACGUUCGAUCCUAUUUUGUUGGUUUCUAGGAUUGACGUAAUGAUUAAUAGGGAUAGUUGGGGGCAUUAGUAUUCAAUUGUCAGAGGUGAAAUUCUUGGAUUUAUUGAAGACUAACUACUGCGAAAGCAUUUGCCAGGGAUGUUUUCAUUAAUCAAGAACGAAAGUUAGGGGAUCGAAGACGAUCAGAUACCGUCGUAGUCUUAACCAUAAACUAUGCCGACUAGGGAUCGGAUGAUGUUAUUUUUAAUGACUCAUUCGGCGCCUUACGGGAAACCAAAGUGUUUGGGUUC